GUGAGGAAUAUUGGUCAAUGGGCGAGAGCCUGAACCAGCCAAGUCGCGUGAAGGAAGAAGGAUCUAUGGUUCGUAAACUUCUUUUGCAGGGGAAUAAAGUGCAGGACGUGUCCUGUUUUGUAUGUACCCUGAGAAUAAGGAUCGGCUAACUCCGUGCCAGCAGCCGCGGUAAUACGGAGGAUCCGAGCGUUAUCCGGAUUUAUUGGGUUUAAAGGGUGCGUAGGUGGUUUGAUAAGUCAGCGGUGAAAGUUUGCAGCUUAACUGUAAAAAUGCCGUUGAAACUGUCUGACUUGAGUGUAAAUGAGGUAGGCGGAAUGCGUGGUGUAGCGGUGAAAUGCAUAGAUAUCACGAAGAACUCCGAUUGCGAAGGCAGCUUACUAAGCUACAACUGACACUGAAGCACGAAAGCGUGGGGAUCAAACAGGAUUAGAUACCCCAGUAGUCC
rnacentral:rRNA from 1 species